CUUUGCAGUAAGAGUGUCCACUUGUUCCAGUUCUGUCCAAAGACAGCUAAGCAGAGGUCCGAAGUGGAGAUUCAUAUCAAGUAUUGCUUUUCUGAAAGGAGGGUCCAGAUGUGGCUGGCUCCUCACCCUCCCGCUUCCUGCCUGAAGUGAACUCCAUUGCCCUUCUGUGGCUCCACAGUGCAGGUAUUCUUGCCUGGGCUAUGGCUCCUGCUGCCUAGAUGAUACCUUUUGGGGGACUUCUAAAAAACGUGCAUAGGUAAAGCAACCCACACACCAUUAACUGGCACCUACUCUAAGUCCGGCAGUGGAUGACUUGAAACAGAGUUCAACAAAGAUGGGGAACUGCCUCCCUCUCCAGGAGCCUCUUCUAAAUUUGGAUCACUUGUGCCAGCCUGGAGAUCACCAAAAAGUCCUCCUGAAAAUCACCUGCAAAUGCCUGGCCCAGCCCUGGGAGAGGUGCAAAGGGAAUGAGAAGGAAGGGUGACCCUGCCUGCCUUACCAGUUAUGGCAAGGAGCAAUCUAAGAGGUGUGACUCGGCCCGGGGAUGCAGAAGGACUAAGGUGGCACCAGGUCUCGUCAGCACAUUAGUUCCACCUCACUUGUCACAUAAACAUGAAGUCUGUUCAGGGCGAGGUGUCAGCUGCAGGGUGCUCACCACCCAGAGUGUGGUUCUGUGUGGGGCAACAUCAGCAUCCCUGAGAUCUUGUCCGAGAUGCUGACUCUCUGACCCAUCCCAGACCUGCUGAACCAGAAUCUGCACUUUAACAAGAGCCCCAAGAGAUCUGUGCACUCAUUAAAGUUCAAAAAGCUCUG